rnacentral:rRNA from 1 species
CUGGCGGAAUGCUUUACACAUGCAAGUCGAACGGCAGCACGGGAGCUUGCUCCUGGUGGCGAGUGGCGAACGGGUGAGUAACAUAUCGGAACGUAUCCAAUAAUGGGGGAUAACUAAUCGAAAGGUUGGCUAAUACCGCAUACGUCCUACGGGAGAAAGCAGGGGACCUUCGGGCCUUGCGUUAAUGGAGCGGCCGAUAUCUGAUUAGCUGGUUGGUGGGGUAAAGGCUCACCAAGGCGACGAUCAGUAGCUGGUCUGAGAGGACGACCAGCCACACUGGAACUGAGACACGGUCCAGACUCCUACGGGAGGCAGCAGUGGGGAAUUUUGGACAAUGGGCGCAAGCCUGAUCCAGCCAUUCCGCGUGAGUGAAGAAGGCCUUCGGGUUGUAAAGCUCUUUCGCAAGGGAAGAAACGAUACAAGCGAAUAACUUGUGUUAAUGACGGUACCUUGAUAAGAAGCACCGGCUAACUACGUGCCAGCAGCCGCGGUAAUACGUAGGGUGCGAGCGUUAAUCGGAAUUACUGGGCGUAAAGCGUGCGCAGGCUGUUUUGUAAGUCAGAUGUGAAAUCCCCGAGCUCAACUUGGGAACUGCGUUUGAAACUACAAGACUAGAAUAGGUCAGAGGGGGGUAGAAUUCCACGUGUAGCAGUGAAAUGCGUAGAGAUGUGGAGGAAUAUCAAUGGCGAAGGCAGCCCCCUGGGAUCAUAUUGACGCUCAUGCACGAAAGCGUGGGGAGCAAACAGGAUUAGAUACCCUGGUAGUCC